rnacentral:rRNA from 1 species
AUGGACGGUUUGCGCGAUAACUCCCGGCCGCCCUUUCGCGGCAUCGACAGCCCCUCGCCGUCCGAAUUCCGCGUGAGCUCCAGCCAGCGACGGCGCCGCUCCGCCUCUCGCAACGCUCCGCUGACACCUCCCAUGCACCGCACCAGCGGCCUAGUCCGUCACCACGCAGAGCCGCGCCGCAAGCACCACCACCGGCGUGAGCGCAGCCGCAGCCCUCGCCUUGAGUCGGCACGCAAAGCUGGCUCGCCAUCUGCCAAGUGGUCUCGGUUCGAAGACGGCUCUUCGAGCGCGCUGGCUCCGCCUCUGAUGGAUGAUGGCAGCACGACCCUUGACUGCCCUGACAGUCCCAUAUACUGUUACGAGGAUGAUCAGAGGAUAAGAUUUGGGCAAUACGGCGUCUCUGAUGGUCCAGGGAUCACUGACAGGGAACCAGACGGCAAACAGGAAGAUCAUUCAUAUAAUGCGCUGGUGGAUGACUUUAUGGGUGCUGUGGUGGAGAACUGGUGUGAGCCAGCCAACUUCGAUCAAGCAGCGCGUGAAGAGCGUUACCGAAAGCAGACGAAUCGAUUCGCUGAGUUAGCUCUGAAACGUUACAACAAAAACAAAAACAAUAAGGUUAAGUAUUCACUUGUUGAGGCAAUAGAUGGAGCAAUAUUUCAUGAGCGAUCUUACGAUUACGCCCAUGUGAACUUCUAUGCUAAUGCUAAGAAUGGCCCAAAGAAGAACGAUCCUAAAGUGCUUGUUUUUGCUGAGCUCAAACAUGUUGGACGGCGAGUUAACGCAAUGGCUCUCACGUCUUUCCAUUUUCUUGAUGAGAAGAAACAAACCACUGGACGUCGUGAUGUUGCUCGGAGCUCGCGCGUGAUUCGGGAGAUAUAUCAUUGCUAUGCUUGUACCAAUGAUAUGAAGCACCCCCAGGGAUCAAGCUAUAAGGCAGGCCACUUUGCUGCUGUAUCAUAUUACUUUGAGGAUUAG